CUACGACCUCAGAUCAGACGUGGCGACCCGCUGAAUUUAAGCAUAUUACUAAGCGAGGAAAAGAAACUAACCAGGAUUCCUCAGUAACGGCGAGUGAAGAGGGAAGAGCCCAGCGCCGAAUCCCCGUCCGGCGGCGGGCGCGGGAAAUGUGGCGUACAGAAGACCGACUCCCUGGCAGUCGCUCAGGGGGCCAAGUCCUUCUGAUCGAGGCUCACCCCGUGGACGGUGUUAGGCCGGUAGUGCCCCCGGCGCGCCGGGAUCGGGUCUUCUCGGAGUCGGGUUGCUUGGGAAUGCAGUCCAAAGUGGGUGGUAAACUCCAUCUAAGGCUAAGUACAGGCGCGAGACCGAUAGCCAACAAGUACCGUAAAGGAAAGUUGAAAAGAACUUUGAAGAGAGAGUUCAAGAGGGACGUGAAACUGUUGAGAGGUAAACGGGUGGGGUCCGUGCAGUCCGCCCGGUGGAUUCAACACGGCGGGCAGGUCGGUCGCCCGGAACGGCGGAUACCCUCGCUCCGGCGGAGAGUGUUACAGCCCCCUGGCAGCAGUUUUGCCGUGUCCGAGGGAGAUUGACCGCCGCCGCGCCUUUCUACGGCAACCGUCCCGGCCCCUCUGAGGGGUGCAACGGGCUAUGGGGCCCCCUGCUCCCGGUGCGACUGUCGACUGGGGUGGACUGUCCUCAGUGCACCCCGACCGCGUCGCACUGCCGGGCGGGGAGGCCCACGAAGGGCACCAGGGGUCUGCGGUGAUGUCGGUUACCCACCUGACCCGUCUUGAAACACGGACCAAGGAGUCUAAAACGUGCGCGAGUCGGAGGGCCGAACGAAAACCCUGUGGCGCAAUGAAGGUGAGGGCCGGCGCGCGCCAGCUGAGGUGGGAUCCUGUCGCGGCAUCGCGGCGCGGGCGCACCACUGGCCCAUCUCGCCGCUCUGUCGGAGAGGUGGAGCAUGAGCGUGUGUGAUAGGACCCGAAAGAUGGUGAACUAUGCCUGGGCAGGGCGAAGCCAGAGGAAACUCUGGUGGAGGUCCGUAGAGGUCCUGACGUGCAAAUCGGUUGUCCGACCUGGGUAUAGGAGCGAAAGACUAAUCGAACCAUCUAGUAGCUGGUUCCCUCCGAAGUUUCCCUCAGUAUAGCUGGCGCUCGGAAACCCCAGUUUUAUCUGGUAAAGCGAAUGAUUAGAGGUCUUGGGGCCGAAACAAUCUCAAGCUAUUCUCAAACUUUAAAUGGGUAAGAAGCCCGGCUCGCUGGUGUGGAGCUGGGCAUCGAAUGCGAGUGCCCAAUGGGCCACUUUUGGUAAGCAGAACUGGCACUGCGGGAUGAACCGAACGCCGGGUUAAGGCGCCCGAUGCCGAUGCUCAUCAGACCCCAGAAAAGGUGUUGGUUGAUAUAGACAGCAGGACGGUGGCCAUGGAAGUCGGAAUCCACUAAGGAGUGUGUAACAGCUCACCUGCCGAAUCAACUAGCCCUGAAAAUGGAUGGCGCUGGAGCGUCGGGCCCAUACCCGGCGUCGCCGGCACUGAUAGCCACGGGGGCUAAGCCGCAACGAGUAGGAGGGCCGCUGCGGUGCGCACAGAAGCCCGGGGCGAGGGCCCGGGUAGAGCUGCCGCAGGUGCAGAUCUUGGUGGUAGUAGCAAAUAUUCAAACAAGAACUUUGAAGGCCGAAGUGGAGAAGGGUUCCACGUGAACAGCAGUUGAACAUGGUCAGUUGUCCCCAAGAGAUGGGCGAGCACCGUUCGGAAGGGACGGGCGAUGGCCUCCGUUGCCCUCAGCCGAUCGAAAGGGAGUCGGGUUCAGAUCCCUGAACCCGGAGUGGCGGAGACGGGUGCCCUCGCGGCAUCCAGUGCGGUAAUGCAAACAAUCCCAGAGAAGCCGGCGGGAGCCCCGGGGAGAGUUCUCUUUACUUUGUGAAGGACAGGGCACCCUGGAAUGGGUUUGCCCCGAGAGAGGGGCCCGAGCCUUGGAAAGCGUUGCGGUUCCAGUGGCGUCCGGUGAGCUCUCGCUGGUCCUUGAAAAUCCGGGGGAGAUGGUGUAAAUCUCGCCCUGGGCCGUACCCAUAUCCGCAGCAGGUCUCCAAGGUGAACAGCCUCUGGCAUGUUGGAACAAUGUAGGUAAGGGAA
rnacentral:rRNA from 1 species